GCUCAGGACGAACGCUGGCGGCGUGCCUAAUACAUGCAAGUCGAACGCGUCUUGGUCAAUGAUUUUAGGUGCUUGCACUUGACUGAUUUGACAUUGAGACGAGUGGCGAACUGGUGAGUAACACGUGGGUAACCUGCCCUUGAAGUAGAGGAUAACACUUGGAAACAGGUGCUAAUACUGCAUAACAACGAAAACCGCCUGGUUUUCGUUUGAAAGAUGGCUUCGGCUAUCGCUUUAGGAUGGACCCGCGGCGUAUUAGCUAGUUGGUGAGGUAACGGCUCACCAAGGCAAUGAUACGUAGCCGACCUGAGAGGGUAAUCGGCCACAUUGGGACUGAGACACGGCCCAAACUCCUACGGGAGGCAGCAGUAGGGAAUCUUCCACAAUGGACGAAAGUCUGAUGGAGCAACGCCGCGUGAGUGAUGAAGGGUUUCGGCUCGUAAAACUCUGUUGUUGGAGAAGAACGGGUGUCAGAGUAACUGUUGACAUCGUGACGGUAUCCAACCAGAAAGCCACGGCUAACUACGUGCCAGCAGCCGCGGUAAUACGUAGGUGGCAAGCGUUGUCCGGAUUUAUUGGGCGUAAAGCGAGCGCAGGCGGUUUUUUAGGUCUGAUGUGAAAGCUUCGGCUUAACCGGAGAAGUGCAU
rnacentral:rRNA from 2 species